rnacentral:tRNA from 1 species
GGAGAGAUGUCCGAGUGGUUUAAGGAGCACGCCUGGAAAGUGUGUGUACGCCUAGCGGUGUACCGAGGGUUCGAAUCCCUCUCUCUCCG